rnacentral:rRNA from 1 species
GACGUAGGGCGCGAGCGUUGUCCGGAUUUAUUGGGCGUAAAGAGCUCGUAGGCGGCUUGUCGCGUCGACCGUGAAAACUUGGGGCUCAACCCCAAGCCUGCGGUCGAUACGGGCAGGCUCGAGUUCGGUAGGGGAGUCUGGAAUUCCUGGUGUAGCGGUGAAAUGCGCAGAUAUCAGGAGGAACACCGGUGGCGAAGGCGGGACUCUGGGCCGAUACUGACGCUGAGGAGCGAAAGCGUGGGGAGCGAACAGG